GGAGCCUGGGGAAGGGAAGUGCGCCCCCGGGACCGGUCCCGAGGGCCUAACCCGUGUCUACAGUGUGAGGUUCUGUCCUUUCACCAAGAGGACGCUCCUGGUCCUCAACGCCAAGGGAAUUCGGUGAGGGGGCCGCUCCCCUAUCAGGCCAAGAACCAGCUGCUACAGGCGGCGCGAGUGGGAAUCCUGAAAAGGGUCCCCGCUGCUUCCUUUACUGCAAAAUACACAAUGCUCAGCCUUUUGGGGAGACAUAGUAACUUAUGGACCCUAUCCUCGCGUGGUGGGGAAUGCCACAGGCUCCACCAGCCUAUGACGCCCCAUUUAGAUUAACUAUUUCAUGGAUCCCAAAAGCUGGGGCUCCAAUAAUAACGUUAGUGAUGUGCAGAGAUCACUGGAACGGUAAUCACAGGCAGCAGCCCUUUUAGCUCUGGUAGAUCCUGGUUACUGGUGUAUUGCACUUUCCCUUUCCCCCACUUCAUUCAUGUCCUGCUUAUCGGAUAUUAUUUGCUGAUAUUCUGGGGAUAGAGUCCCUUCUCCAAUAGUGGGUAAUUUAUCUCAGUCCAGAGUCCAGACCUCCACACACCACCGGACAUAGUGCUGACCUAACUGUACAGUGCAUGUUCCUAUGGGAUUUGGGUUGUUGGUUGAGUUAAAUAAAGUGUCUAUACCUAAAAAUUCAGACUUUGGGGAAGCCUUAUUGAAAUUAGGAUGGUUAUUGACAUAAGAGUUAUCUUCAGGAAAUAUGAAAGUCACUGGGAUUUUCUCAGAGCUGAAUAUCCACCGGAACCACCUCCCUCCCAAUGAUCUUUAGAUGUCUGUGAUGUGAAAGUUUAAAACAUAGCCCCUGUUCUUAAGAAGUUUUCCGUCUAUGGCUUAGAGUUUACAAACUAAUUUUAGUCUUCUGGGGGAGAAUUAGGCAACUCUUUCCCCUGAGAGAAAAGUAAGUUACAUUCUUAAAAGAAAUUAUUUUGGAUUAGCUAUCUCUUUAGUAAGAUUUGCUUCUUAUUUUGGAUGAAACUGAUUUUGAACACAAUAGCAAAACACUCAACAUUUAGUAACAUUUAUCUAAAACAUUAUUUUAGCCAAGUAUUUUAAUAUAUCCUUAGUCAUAAUUAUUUUUAUUGAAAUUAAGAGAAAUCCAAUUUAACUGUAUUGGAAAAAUACAUAUCUUGUGUUCAUAUAACUGAAAAGUCCUGGAGCAAGCCACAACUGUAUUCUGGGGCACAAAGUCUUGGGUUAGUGCCUUUCUGGACGUCUAGAUUGAAAACUCUACGUUAUUUACUAGGAAAAUUUUCCAAAGGAAAGCUAAUAUUAAUGUACAAGUGUGUGUAUGGGGGUAAGGAGUGGUAACAGCUGCAAGGUAGUGUAAACAGAGGUCUACUAUGUUCAUGGAUUAGUUUUGCAUCCCAAUAGAUUUUCGUGCCAGUACUAGAAUUUACCACAUGAUUAACAAAGCAUGGUUUUCUCUAAAGACACAUCUUCCAACUUGUUCGGCAGGUAUGUUGACUUGUUGGCUCACAAUGCCAGGUUACUAAGAUGCAUGUGUGUGCUAACCUUCUUUAUUACAAAAGCCCAGUAUUUACCUUUCUGUUUCACAGUAUAAAUUUUCAGAAAUGUUGAUAAUUCCUUGGCAAGGAGACUUAUUUUUCUUGCAGUGGCUUGUAUCUGACUGUUUAGUGGUCUGUUAGCACAUGAACAUUUGAAUACACACAUACAGAUGCCAGUGUUCAAUGGGGCUAUUCCUCUGUAUCCAUGGUGGGAGGUCUGCAUAUUUAAAUCUUCAAGGUAAGUGCUAUUCUAGCUACUAAGAUGGAUGGGGAAAUAGGAAACAAAAGCUGCUGGUGUGUAUCAUUUUUGAGUAAAUAAUGUUCUAUUGAACACUUAUCAGCUUUGACAAUGAUACGAACCUGGCUUUAAUGAUUAUAUGAAACUUUCCUUUCUCUUAUUUCCCCUAAAAUCUCUGAGGCAAGAUAAGAAUUAGAUAUAAAAACCAUCUUAAUACAGGCUGGACUUCACUUGUUUUCUUCUUUAUGGGUUUAACUUAAGUGACUUACCCAUGUAUCAUUUUUUUUUUUAAAUAUCAACUAAUGGAGAUUUAAUCGGAAAGUUUAUUUCAUGGAAGCAUUUUUUUGAUUCUCUUAAUAUUCUGGUAAGAAGUGAGGAACUUUCAUUCAAAUUAGCAAAAGGAAUUGAAUAUUAUCAUGUUGAUUCUCAUAUAGUGGGGUAUGGACACAAUUCAAUUAGUUGCCUUAUAAAAUAUACAGUUAAAAUACCUCUUAGCCCCACAUGGAGUAUCUUAUUGACAAUCUUAAAGCAUUUCCACCUAUUUAUUUGACAAAUAUGUACUGAGUAUCUAUCUGAAACUGCUUAUAUUUCUUCGUAGCAUUUAAACCUAUUUAAAAUUUUGCUCAUUUACAUGUUUGCUUAUGAAUAUGACCUAGACUCUCAAAAUCGAUGCUUUCAUGGAACUUACAUUGUAGGGAGGUGACAUAAUAAGCAUGCAAUUAAAGAAGCAAAGUAAUUUCAGAUACAUAUUAUCAGGUCAAUGAAGAAAGUAUUACAAAGAGUGAAAAAGAGGUCAGUACGGCCAGAUGGUAAUGAUGAGAGGGACUGAUAGGAAACAGAUUGACAGAUAAGCAAAGGACAGGUCAAAUGGCAUGGAAAGAGGUUUAGAGUUCAUCCUCAUUGCAAUGAGGAGCAGCUGAGGGCUUGUAAGCAAGCAGGAGGGUCACUGAUCCAGUUUUGAUCCAGUGCAUGGAGGAUGGACUGUAAGGAGGCCACUGUGGAAGCAGAGGGACCAGGGGGACUACUGUAGAGGUCCAGGUGCCAGAUAAUGUCCUAGACAAGGUGGCAGUGUUAAAGCUGAGAAUCAGAUAAAGCCAGAAUGUGAUCUGGAGGUCUAGCUGACAGGUCUUGAUGACCCAUCUGAUUUCAGGAAGACGGGACAGAGGGAAGGAAUCAAGGCUGAGCUGACUCCUGAAUUUGGGGUCUGAUCAGAUAGAUAAGUGGGUGGUGGAACCAGUGAAGCUUCCUUCAGGAGUACAAAAGGAAUGUUACUCUCUUGACUGUCUUCUAUGUGUCUUUCAGGCAUCAAGUCAUCAACAUCAACCUGAAAAAUAAGCCUGAGUGGUUCUUCCAGAAGAAUCCCUCAGGUCUGGUGCCAGUUCUGGAAAACAGUCAGGGUCAACUGAUCUAUGAAUCUGCCAUCACUUGUGAGUACCUGGAUGAAGCAUAUCCAGGGAAGAAGCUGUUGCCAGAUGACCCCUAUGAGAAAGCUUGCCAAAAGAUGGUCUUUGAGUUGUCUUCUAAGGUGUGUGUGUAAGACAUUUCAGCUCCCAUUUGAAACACCUUUGGUUGUGAAGCUAAAUCAGUGUUGUCACUCAUGGUUCAAUGAUUUGGGAGUAGCAAACCAAUAGGGUGAUGCUCUUGUCAGCUCUGCCAUGUGCUGCAAGCCCUUUCAUGGUCUGGAUCCUGUUUACCUCUCCAAAGGUAUGCCUCUUCCCUCUUCUGACCCGGUGUAUUCCUGCCACGCUGAAUGUUUUUCUUUUUUCCAAACUUGCCACCUUCUUCUCAACUCUUGCUGGAAUGUUCCUCCCCUUCUCACCUUAAGUUUGUUUUUGAAGGCUGUGAAUCUGACCACGCUUUCAAAUGAGAGGACUGGUAUAGUUAGCCUCACACUGAUAAACUAAGAACUUACUCUCUACCUAGGUGCCUCCUUUGCUACUAAGCUUUCUUAGAAAGCAAAAUAAAGACUGCUCUGGCCUAAAAGAAGAAUUGGGUAAAGGAUUCAGCAAGCUAGAGGAGGUUCUGACCAAAAAGAAGACAACAUACUUUGGUGGAAGUUCUCUCUCUAUGAUUGAUUACCUCAUCUGGCCCUGGUUUGAAAGGCUGGAAGCCCUGGAGUUAAAUGAGUAAGACAUUUGAAUACCUUGUGCAUAAAUUAGGACAAUGACAACUGGAAUAGUAUAUAUUGACCUCUUUUAUAAACAGUAACUAAAAUGCCUCAUUCACCUGGCUUGAAUGGGAACAAGCAGACAGGAGGGGUCUUGGACUUUCCAGGGCAUGCCAUCCACCUGGCCUCACCAUUCUUCCCCCAUCCCUGGGGGUGGGGAAUUCUGUGCCAUGUGGUAACAUGUUUUAAAAUCAAUUUAGUCCUUCCCUCCUGGUUAAAAAUCCUUAAGGAUGUACAUUUUUAUAAAGAUGUUAUGCAGGACU